rnacentral:rRNA from 1 species
UGGGGAAUUUUGGACAAUGGGGGCAACCCUGAUCCAGCAAUGCCGCGUGUGUGAAGAAGGCCUUCGGGUUGUAAAGCACUUUUGUCCGGAAAGAAAACGCCGUGGUUAAUACCCGUGGCGGAUGACGGUACCGGAAGAAUAAGCACCGGCUAACUACGUGCCAGCAGCCGCGGUAAUACGUAGGGUGCAAGCGUUAAUCGGAAUUACUGGGCGUAAAGCGUGCGCAGGCGGUCCGCUAAGACAGAUGUGAAAUCCCCGGGCUUAACCUGGGAACUGCAUUUGUGACUGGCGGGCUAGAGUAUGGCAGAGGGGGGUAGAAUUCCACGUGUAGCAGUGAAAAUGCGUAGAGAUGUGGAGGAAUACCGAUGGCGAAGGCAGCCCCCCUGGGCCAAUACUGACGCUCAUGCACGAAAAGCGUGGGGAGCAAAACAGGAUUAGAUACCCUGGUAGUCCACGCCCUAAACGAUGUCAAACUAGUUGUCGGGUCUUCAUUGACUUGGUAACGUAGCUAACGCGUGAAGUUGACCGCCUGGGGAGUACGGUCGCAAGAUUAAAAACUCAAAGGAAAUUGACGGGGUCAUAGCUGUUUCCUG